UCAUUUUUCCAAGUAAGCAUGAUUCGCAACUAUCAUCUGACUUUAGGUCAAACGACUCCAAGACUCCAUCCUUUUGGAGUUGGCCUAUGCGUUUCUUGCUUAUAUGUCCAAGACGACAAUGCCAUAAAGAUGCUUUAUCCAAGUUAUUAUUAGUAGAAUCAAUACACAAAACAUUAUUUCCCAAGUUAUCUACAACAGAUACAGCUUCAUACACACCAUCACAAGGUAAUGCUUUAAAAUAAAAGACAUUAUUAUAGAAAACAUCUAUAGAACCAACUUCAUUAUUAAAUGAAAAGGUAAACCCUUGUUUGUACAAAGCAUGAAAGGAAAUAAUAUUUCUUGCCAUUCCUGGCGAAUAACAACACUUAUUCAAAUCUAAACUAAACCCACUACUUAGCGAUAAAGUAUAAACUCCAAUCUUGGUAACAGGUAUAGCUUUCCUAUUCCCCAUGAUCAAGUUUAUCCUUCCUUGCUCCACAUCCUCACUUCUUCUUAGUCCCUGCAAGUCACAACAAAUGUGAAUACCACACCCGGUAUCAAGGACCCAAGAAUUAGAAUGGGGUGAGUUAUUAGAAAUGAUAGUGUAAAUACCUGCAUGGUUGGGUUUAACUUUCCCAUCCUUCACAUCUUGCUGGUAUUUUGGGCAGUUCCGCUUCCAAUGAGCUUUUUCAUGGCAAUAGAAGCAUUCAGCCUCUUUUGGGUCAGAAGAAGGAGUAAUGAAACCUUUCUUGGUUCCACUUGAAGAAGAGCCAUCAAGGGUCCGAACCUUGGUACCCUUAGAAGAGCUCUUUCUCUUCCUCCCUCGACUUUUCCCGAUUGCCAAAACCGGAGUAGAGUUUUGAGUAGGAGUGAUAGCAACCGACUUCCCCUUAAGACCUGAUUCUGCGGUCUUGAGAAGUCCCUGAAGUUUGCUGAGGGUGACUUCUUCCUUGUUCAUGUGAUAUGUCAUGCGGAAUUGAUCAUAGCACGAUGGUAAGGAAUGCAAAAUAAUAUCUAUUGCAAGAUCCUCCGGGAAGUUCACAUUAAGCUUCAGCAAACGAUCCACAUACCUUUGCAUUUUCUGCAUGUGGCUCGUGACGGAUUCCCCGUCCUUCAUCAUGGUUGUUAUCAUGGAGCAGAUGAUUUCAUACCUCUCUUGUCUUGCACUUUGAUGGUAUCUUUCCAUCAAAUCUUGGUGCAUUUCAUAAGGGUAGAAAUCCUCAUAAGACUUUUGGAGUUCCGCUGUCAUCGUGGCCAUCAUGAUGCAAGCCACUUUCGUAGCAUCCCUUUCAUGUGCCCGAAAUUCAGCGAUCUCCUGAGGAGUUGCAGUGGACUCAUCAAUCUCCUUAAGCUCCUUGUCAAGGACAUAUUCUUUGUCCUCGUAGCGGGUAAUCAUCCUGAUGUUUCUGAUCCACUCAUUGAAGUUGGAUCCAUCAAAGGUGACUUUCCCACACAAGUUCAUAAGGGUAAAGGAGCCAUUAGGAUUAGAGCCAGAAGCAUUGUUGAAAGACAUCUGAAGGAAAGAGGACAAGAUUAGUUUAGAUAUAAGAGAGUCCUUAAUAAAACACCCAAAUGUAAUAUUAAGGCUAGGAUCCAAUCACAAUAUAAUAUAACUUAGAAGAGGUAUGCCGUAAUCUAAGCUAUAUCAUAUUUGAAAGGUAGGUGAAUGACGAUUCACCAAUUUCCACCACGAAAACCGCAAUAUUUUAGUAUUAGGUUUUUGAAUGGUUCUUAGAAAUUCCUAGAUUCUUUGAGAUUCAAUGAACUUUUCAAAGGCAUGUUUCAAUCUCGAGUGUGCCCUCCAAGUUUUGUGACUGGGAUACCGAGGAUCACAAAACGAGGUGUGAAGUAACCAUGCAAAUCACUUGGUACCCUUAAAGUUUAUCACUCAAUCGAUGUGCCGGUUAACCACACACGCUCCAUCGAUACUAUAAUAAACCCUAAGUCACCCUUUACCUACCUUGUUAAGUCCAAGUUAGUGUGCCGGUUAACCACACACGCUCCACCAACGACUUAAUCAAAGUGUAAAGUGUAAUUUCAUGGAAUAGCACCUUAUUCACAUUUUUCCUAAAGUAACUAAGAUUGGGAAUUUAAUAAAACAUUUAGUUACUUUAUAAUAUUCAUCAUACUUUGAAUGAGAAUUAAUAAGUCCUUGUCUUACCCGUUCGGCUAACGACCCUCCACCGAUCAAGCAAGCGGUGGGUGAGAGUGGACACCCAUUAAGUCACCAUUUUAUAGGCAACAACCUUAUACCCACCUUAUAGACCGGCUUCGUGAAUGAGGCGUACUAGCGGUAAGACGACUUUGUUCUUAUACAUAUAUAUAUAAUUAUUAAAUCAUAAUAAUAUAAGUAUAAGGGUUGAAUUUUAACUUUUAAAAUUCUAGGGGUUGGAACUAAAGUUUUAACUUAACUUUACUUGUUCCAAAACUUGAGGGCAAGUUUUGUAAACUUUCAAAACUUUUCAUUUCUUGUAACUUAUGAGUUUAAUAGAGUAAUAAAAUGAGGACUUUUCAUUUUUCCUAACUCUUGUGUUCUUUUAAUGUUUUUUAAUCCAAGAGACUUUUGGUUUUCCAUAACUUGAGGACAAGUUAUGGACUCCAUUAAAACACAUUAUGAUCAUGAAUUAAUCUACCACAUAGGUUACAAAUAAUUCCUAUGAUCAUCUAAACAUCAUAAGAACAAGAAUAUGAAUAUGAACACUUUCAAGAAUCAAAAUCACAUUUAAUCUUUGUAAUUUUGAUAACUAGUUGUUGUAAAUGAGUUAGAAAAGACAUUACACCUUCUAAAAUAAGUUUUCAAGUACCAAAACAUUUUAGGGUAAUGAUUCUAAUCCAUUUCCAGCAACACAAGUCGAAAUUCUGCACUCUGUCGACCCUACUCGCCGAGUGCAUAAACCUACUCGCCGAGUAGGUUGAAGAUACACAUGAACUCGUCGAGUCCUCCCCAUGGACUCGCCGAGUCCAUCAGUCAGACAGCAAGAUUUUCGACUUUCUUCAACUUUUAAGCACAAAUAACAAACAAACAAGCCUAGGCUCUGAUACCACUGAUGGGUUUUGAGCAUUCUAACACUUCCUAAGUGUACAUGCAACCCUAAUAACCUUGGAUCUAUGUUUGUCUAAUUAUCAUGCAAAGUUGAAUUCCAAGGUUAUAUUCCUAUCUAGCAUACAUGGGGAACAAUUUUAACUUGAAUCAUAGAUAGAAUAACUUACCUUGUUGUUGCUUGUGUUCCUUGAAACCUUGUGAGCCUAGCACCCCAAGUGUGAUGCCUCAAAUGCUUCACACAACACCAAAUGCUCUUGGAAAGACUCUUGAGAUAACACACUUCACAAAAAUCGGCCAAGCCCUCUUGUUUCCUUAGUAGUAGUGCCGAUUUUGGUGGAGAAUAUGCUUCUUAUAUAGUGUUGACACAUCUAGGGUUACACCAUGUAAACCCUAAUGUGUCAUGACUCUUCAUUUCCAUGACCCAUGGGUUUGUAACUCCCAUGGAGCAUCCAUGGAGCAUCCUAUGGGUAGAACCCAACUUGAUAAUCCAUGGAGCCUCUUAGCCCACUAUACAAGAUAUGGAUGAUUUACACAAUCAACCCAUAUAUUUAAUUAGUUAUCCUUUGAUCACUUAAUUAAUUCCAAAUUAAUUCUUUGAUCAACUAAUCAAAUAAUAUUAUUAAUAUAUUAGAACUUAUAAUAUAUUAAUAAUCUCCACGUGUUAUUUCUCUCAUUUAGUCUAUCCAAUUGCAUGGUGCCAUGCAACCCAAAUGGACCAUGCCGGGUCGGGUCAAGUACAAGCCCGAAAUAGUUAUGGACUUAGACACCUUAUCCAACACUAUCUUUAUGGGGUUCGGUGUACCAUAUACACGGACCACAAGAGUCUGAAGUACUUGAUGGAUCAGCCAAAUUUGAAUAUGCGAUAGAGGAGGUGGUUGGAUGUGGUGAAGGAUUAUGAUUGUGAGAUCCUGUGCCACCCGGGCAAGGCGAAUGUAGUAGCCGAUGCAUUGAGCCGUAGGGCGGAAAGCGCCCCGAUUCGAGACAUUUGUAUGAGGUUGACGGUGAUGAGAGACCAGUGGCAAUUAGGGAUCAAAAGGUUAAGGUUCUGAGGAACAAGGAAAUACCCUUGGUGCAAGUGCAGUGGUAGCAUCGGAGGGGGUCCGAGCUGACAUGGGAGUCCGAGGCUGAGAUGCAGGAUCAGUAUCCGGAGUUAUUUUCGGUAUCAGACUUCGGGGGUGAAGUCUGGUUCUAGUGGGGGAGAAUUGUAACAGCCCAAAACCCAGGUACCCUUCUAUUUAGCCCUUCAUCUUUGUUAUGUUUCCAUUUAGGGUUUGCAUGUUAGGCGAGUACGCUGGGCGUACAAGGAGUACGCUGCGCGUACUCACACGCUUCAUUUGGACGCGUUCACCAUCAGGUAUGCUGGGCGUACCCAAGGUUACGCGGGGCGCAACCGGUCCAGACCUAAAAACCCUAAUUCAUUCGGAGGGCUAUAAAAGGAAUGUGUGGCUCGACUUCUUAGCCACCAUCCCUCAGAGAGAAACCCUAAUGACAGUGUGUAUCCGUUCUUGGGCCAUUUGUGAGUAUUCUAAGCUUGGUGGUGCUAUUUCAAGGUAGCAAAGGAGAAGAAGAACUCAUUGCGAAGGAUAGAAGUGGUGUUCAAGUGUAGAUCUGAGCUUUGCAACGGUUGAAGCUGAUGGGUUUUGGCUUCUAAUUAAACAUGCUUGUAUAAAAGACUUUAUAAUGACUAAUUAGGUAUAUAACAACACAAAAACCAGAUCUAGAAACAUACCUUUGAUUCUCUUGUUUGUUCUUGUUGUCUUGGAGCUCUAGAGUCACAAUUGUCACUCCUCUAAUGGCUUACAAACACCAACUAGCAAGAGGAUGAUUUGGGAGAGAGAGGAAGAGUAUGAAAUCGGCCAGAGUAUCCUUGCUUAAGAUGGGUGCCGAUUUCAUGAGCCUAGAGGGUCUAUUUAUACUUGUAAGGCUCCUAGGGUUUCACCUUAAACCCUAAUUGGAUAACCUAGAGUCCAAGUUAAUCCAUAUCCUUUCCUUAGAUAACCCCUUGGACGAUUUUGAGCUAUCCUAGGCUCACAAAUCCGUCGAAUCCUUUAUCUAUAAGGAUAUAUAGCCUAAAGUGUAACUAUCAAACAAUUGACAGUUAAUACCCUCAUAUUUAAUUAAUUCCUUUAAGUCACCAAAUUAAUACUAAUUAAUCUAUGACUUAUAUUAAUUAAAUAACUAUAUUAUUAAUCCUUAUAUUAUCUCCAUAAUAUAUUAAUAAUAUAUAUUCUCUCUUAAUAAAUCAUCAUAUCAAGUUGCUAUGGUGAAGGCAACCUAAAAGGACCAUGCACAAUCGGGUCAAGUACUUGCCUAAUAUAGUUGCAGUCUUAGACACUAUUCCAACAGUCUCCCACUUGGAUAAGUCUAGUAACUAUAUGAGCUAGUACAAUUCGAUUUGCGAUCGUAGCUCUCAAAGACGCUGUCAAAAUCUUAUCUAAUCAAUCUUUUCCUUUAGAUAUGGGAUCGUACAGUCCUCUGUUAGAUAUCAUGCUGACAAUUCUAUGGAAUGAUUAGUCAAGCAUUUAGGUUUCUUGAUCUCCGAUUUAUUUGAUAAUCAACUAUACACAACAAUGUGUUUUAUAACAUUGAGUUACCAAUGCGUUUUCGCAUUAUCAAUGUACAAUUAAUUAGCAAAUAAUAAACCAUAUAUCUAGGUUUUAAAAAUAUAUGAUAUUAUCGUCUUGCGAUCACCCUUUUAUAUCAUAUUCCAUAAGGUGAUUCCAGCAAGCGCGGGUUUGUUCCAAUGCUCAAAACUAGUUCAUAAGCACUCAUGAACGUUGCAGCAACCCUUUGCUAUGUCUAACACCAUUUAGACAAUCUACACACCAAUUCAUGACAAUCUUCAUUCAUAUCUACUUCCAACAUAUGAACGAUUGUGGACAAUUUGAACAAUUCGAUUAUUCCUAAUAAACUCAAUUAUUCUGGAAGUCAAAACAUGCAAAGUGAAACAAUAGCUAAACAAUUAACAUAAGAUAGUAACAUUACUCAUAAAUAAAACUCCUUUAUUUAAUCAUCAAAUGUUAAUUACAUUUAUCUAUUACACGUUUCUAAUACUAUCUAAUCUAUGCUAAUAUCAUCCUUCAGCCCAAUACUCCUAGCAUGCUGCAAGUGCUUAACCCUACUCAGUCCCUUCGUAAGCGGAUCUGCUGGGUUAUCUUCUGAUGAUAUCCUCUUCACUACGAGUUGUCCUUCUUCUACACGAUGUCUAAUGAAGUGAUAUUUUCUGUCGAUAUGUCUUGAUCUACCAUGAUCCCUCGGUUCCUUGGUCAAGGCAACCGCUCCUUCGUUAUCACAGAAAAUCUCCAUGGGCUCCUUUAUGGCAGGUACAACUCCAAGAUCACCGAUGAAGUUCUUUAGCCAUAUUGCCUCCUUCGACGCUUCGCUCGCUGCAAUGUACUCUGAUUCGCACGUUGAAUCAGCUACGGUUUCCUGCUUGGAACUCUUCCAUGUCACUGCUCCUCCAUUUAGGGUAAAGACCCAGCCCGACUGCGAACGGUAGUUGUCCCUGUCGGUCUGAAAACUGGCGUCACUAUACCCUCGCACCUUCAAGUCAUCACUCCCUCCGAGGACUAAGAACCAUUCCUUCGUCCUCCGAAGGUACUUAAGGAUAUUCUUCACCGCAAUCCAAUGUGCUUUGCCAGGAUUCCCUUGAUAUCUGCUAACCAUGCUCAAAGCGAAGGCUACAUCAGGGCGAGUACAAGUCAUAGCGUACAUGAUUGAGCCAACUGCGGAAGCGUAUGGUACUCGGCUCAUUUCUGCUAUCUCAGCUUCGGUACUCGGACUUUGAGUCUUACUCAAUUUGGCAUUACUUUGUAUCGGUAGUUCUCCCUUCUUUGAGUUUUCCAUACUAAAACGUUUUAGUACCUUCUCUAAGUAAGUAUUCUGACUAAGUCCAAUUAGUCUCUUACUUCUUUCUCUUACUAUCCUUAUUCCCAAAAUGUAAGAAGCCUCUCCGAGGUCCUUCAUAGCGAAGCACUUCCCGAGCCAGGACUUAACCUCCUGCAGAGUCGGGAUGUCGUUUCCUAUGAGUAAUAUGUCAUCGACAUAUAGAACGAGGAAGCUUACUAUACUCCCACUGGCUUUGACAUAUACACAAGAUUCGUCUUCGCUUCGUACAAAUCCAAACUCUUUGACUUUCUCAUCGAAGCAAAGAUUCCAUCUGCGAGACGCUUGCUUAAGUCCAUAAAUGGACUUCUCAAGCUUACACACUCUAUUCGGAUGCUUCGGAUCCACAAACCCCUCUGGCUGAGCCAUGUAAACAUCCUCAGCCAACUUUCCGUUAAGGAAAGCGGUCUUGACAUCCAUUUGCCAAAUCUCAUAAUCAUGAAAUGCGGCAAUUGCUAGCAUCACUCUAAUAGAUUUAAUCUUCACAACUGGUGAGAAGGUCUCAUCAUAGUCAACUCCGGGAGUUUGAGUAAAGCCCUUCGCAACCAAUCGCGCUUUAUAUGUGUGUACGUUUCCAUCCACGUCGGUCUUCUUCUUGAAGAUCCAUUUGCACCCAACGGUCUUACGUCCGGGCACAUGAUCAACCAAAUUCCAAACUUGGUUAUCAUACAUGGAUUGGAUCUCGCUAUCCAUUGCCUCUUUCCAUUUCGCAGACUCCGGGCCUGCCAUGGCUUCCUUAUAGCUAUUAGGUUCAUCAAGAUUUACUAGUGUACCAUCACUAAUAUACGUGUCCCCUUCGGUAGUAAUAUGAAAACCAUAAAACUGGGGUAGAACUCUAACUCUAUCGGAACGUCUAAGAGGUAAGGACUCGUCAAUCGGUUCAACCGGAGUUUCCUCCUCGGGUUGAGUGCCAGCGGUAGAGGUUCCUUCAUCUAUCGACUCUUGAAUCUCGUCAAGCUCGAUUUUCCUCCCACUGUCCUCUUGGCCUAUGAGUUCUCGCUCUCGAAAAACUCCUCUGCUCGCAACAAAGACUACAUUGUCCUUCGGUCUAUAGAAGAGAUAUCCAAAGGAUUUCUGCGGGUAGCCGACGAAAAUACAUCGCUCACUUCGAGGUUCGAGUUUGUCAUGAGUAUCUCGUCUUACGAAAGCCUCGCAACCCCAAACCUUGAUAUGUGCCGACGAAAGAGCUUUCCCCGUCCACAUCUCGUGAGGUGUUUUGCCAACCUUCUUAGUAGGGACUCGGUUAAGGAUAUGGGCGGCAGUCUCUAAGGCAUACCCCCAAAAAGAGAUUGAUAGUGAAGCACAGCUCAUUAUAGAGCGAACCAUAUCCAAUAGUGUUCGAUUACGCCUUUCUGCCACACCAUUCAAUUGUGGUGUCCUAGGUGGCGUCAAUUGCAAAGCUAUUCCACACUCCUUGAGAUAUUCGUGGAAUUCAAGACUUAGGUAUUCUCCUCCUCGAUCGGAUCGAAGCAUCUUGAUCUUCCUACCCAAUUGAUUCUCCACUUCAUUCUUAAACUCUUUGAAUUUUCAAAAGUUUCUGACUUUGGUUGAUUAAAUAGAUAUACCCAUAUCUACUAUAGUCAUCGGUAAAAGUCACGUAGAAGCGGUUCCCAUCCUUUGUGGUUGAUCUAAACGGUCCACAUACAUCGGUAUGUAUUAGGUCCAAUAGACCAUCACUCCUUUCGCAUGUUCCAGCAAAGGGUAACUUAGUCAUCUUUCCAAGCAAACAAGACUCGUAUGUGUCAUCUUCCCUAAGGUCGAAUGACUCCAACACUCCAUCCUUUUGGAGUUGGGCUAUGCGUUUCUUAUUGACAUGUCCAAGAUGGCUAUGCCAUAAGGAUGCUUUAUCCAAACUAUUGGAAGAAUCUAUAUUUAAAACAUCAUUUCCUAAAUUAUCAACAAUCAUGACAUUUCAUAAAUNAAAGUAAAAAAAACCAUUUAGAUAAGCUAAAAUAGAACCAUUCUCAUUAUUAAAAGAAAAUCUAAAACCUUGUCUAAACAAACCAUGAAAUGAAAUAAUGUUUCUAGCCAUUUCUGGCGAAUAGCAACAAUUGUUCAAAUCUCAAGACAAACUAUUCCUAAGCACUAAAUAAUAUACUCCAAUCUUGGUCACAGGCGACGAUCUUCUGUUCCCCAUGAUUAGGUUUAUCCUUCCUUGCUUUACAUCCCUACUUCUUCUUAGUCACUGCACAUUAGAACAAGUGUGGUAACCACAACCGGUAUCAAGAACCCAAGAAAUAACAUGGUUAGAAUCGUUAGAUUUAAUUGUGUAUAUACCUGCGAAAGAUGGCUUGAUCUUUCCUUCCUUGAUGGCUUGCAUGUAUUUUGGGCAGCUUCUCUUGCAAUGUCCUAUCUUGUGGCAGUGAUGACAUUCAGCCUCCUUUGGGUUAGAGCAGGGCUUAGCGGGAUCAACUUUGGUCCCACUAGAAGAGGCACCAUCUCGGUCUUUCACCUUGCGUUGGUUCUUGGACGAAGCCUUCCUCUUCUUUCCCUUCCCUUGACCAAAAGCCAAGACAGGAGCAGCGGGUGGAUUGGCAGUUGGUGCAAUAGACAUGUCUUUGAAGUUGCUCUCAGCAACCCUCAAGAGACCUUGGAGUUAACUUAGUGUGACCUCCUCUUUGUUCAUGUGGUAGGUCAUCCUAAAUUGGUUAUAGCUUGGAGGCAAAGAGUGAAGCACCAUAUCGGUCGCCAAGUCUUCUCCAAAGUCAACAUUUAACUUGCGAAGGCGAUCGACGUACCUUUGCAUCUUUUGCAGGUGCAUGGUAAGAGACUCUCCAUGACCCAUCAUAGCGGAAAUCAUGUUAGUGAAAAUCUCAUAACGCUCUUGUCUCGCGUUUUGAUGGUAUCGCUCCAAUAAGUCUUGAUGCAUCUCGUACGGGUACAUGUCCUCAUAGGACUUUUUGAAUUCAGAGUUCAUUGUGGCUAUCAUGAUGCAAUGAACCUUCGUUGCAUCACGCUCAUGAGUUUCAAAAGCGUUCAUUUCAGCCGGAGUAGCAAUUUCAGGGUUGAUCUUUUCAAGCUUUUCAUCGAGGACAUACUCUUUGUCUUCGUAGCGAGCAAUGGUGUGAAUGUAUCUUAUCGAUUCGCUAAAGUUCGUUCCAUCAAAGGUGACCUUUUGGCAAAGGCUCAUCAAUGUGAAAGAACUAUCGGCAGCGUUGUUGGUCUUCGACAUCUACAAUUAGAAAGGACAAAGAUAGAUUAGAAUAUCAAUCCCUAAAUUUCACCCACUAAGAAAAUAAGGGCUAGGAUCCAACAACAAUAUUUACAUCUUAGAAAAGGGAUGUCGUAAUCUAAAUGCAAAUAACUUGAAGGUAAGUGAAUGACGAUUCACUAAUUCUCCAUCAUGAAAAACUAACACUAAGUUUUAAAUGUAUUGAGAAUUCCUAGGUUCGGAUGAGAUUCAUUGAAACCUUUCAAUGGCAUGUUUAAAUCUCGAUAUGCCCAUAUCAUUUGUGACUGGGAUACCGAGGAUCACAAAGUGGGUGUGAAUUACCAUGCAAAUUUACAUGGUACCUUCAUUGUAACAAUCACCUAUUCAAUGUGCCAGUAAACCACACACCCUCCAUCGAACUAUGAUAAACAAUGAAUCACCCUUUGCCACCUUCGCUUAGAACUAAUUAGUGUGCCGGUAAACCACACAUGCUCCACUAACUUCUUAGCAAGCUGCAAAGUGUAAAUUCAUGGGAUUGCAUCAAAUUCACUUUUCCUAAAGUAACUAAGAUUGAGAAAUUUUGAAAAAUAUUUAGUUACUUUGUAUUUCCUAUUAUACUUUUAAUGAGAGGAUGAGGUUGCCCUAUCCUACCCGUUCGGCUAACGACCCUCCACCGAUCAAGCAAGCGGUGGGUGUGAGUGUAAACCCAUUAAGCGCCAUUUUAUAGGUCGCAACCUUAUACCCACCUUAUAGAUCGGCUUCGUGAAUGAGGCCUACUAGCGGUAAGACUAGCAUUUAGUUAUACAUAUAUAUAGAUAUUAAUCUUGUAAUAUUAUAUUAGUAUAAGGUUGAAUUUUAAACUUGUAAAACUCUAGGGUUUGAAAUUUAAAUUUAUCUAAAUUAAACUUUUAAUCAUAAAACAUAAAUUUCAAAACUUGAGGGCAAGUUUUAAACUAUUCAAAACAUAGAGGAUCAAAUAACAAAUAAUUCCUUUUUAACAAUUAAACACAUAAUAAUCCAUAUUUGAUUUAUUUGAGAUUUCUUGAAAAAUAAUUUACCAAUUAAAAUAAAAUAAUUAAUAAUUAUCAUGUAAGUAAAUUAAAUAUUUGUUUAAUUGAUAAAUAUCAUUAACUAGAUCAAAAAUAUACUUAUAUUUAUCACAAAAUCGGAUUUGGGAUGAUCUAAUAUGAUAAUGGUAACCUUCCAUAAGAUAAAUACAAAGAAAUCCCGAAAUUGGCUCUUCCUGACGCUCGGACUCGCCAAGUACCCACUCUGGACUCACCGAGUCGGGCCUACUCGCCGAGUCCACAGUGGGACUCACCGAUUCCAUGACUCAGAAACACAAAAAAUGAAUUUUUCAGUUAUGAUUCAUACAAACAAGCAACAAUUUAAUGGAAACCAAGCUAGGCUCUGAUACCACUGAUGGGUUUUGGCCAUAUGAACAUUCAUAUGUGCACAUGCAAACCCUAAUGCUUGGAUCUAUGGCUUCUAAUUAAACAUGCUUGUAUCCAAGACUUUCUAAUGACUAAUUAGGUAUAUAACAACACAAAAACCAGAUCUAGAAACAUACCUUUGAUUCUCUUGUUUGUUCUUGUUGUCUUGAAGCUCUAGAGUCACAAUUGUCACUCCUCUAAUGGCUUACAAACACCAACUAGCAAGAGGAUGAUUUGGGAGAGAAAGGAAGAGUAUGAAAUCGGCCAGAGUAUCCUUGCUUAAGAUGGGUGCCGAUUUCAUGAGCCUAGAGGGUCUAUUUAUAUUUGUAAGGCUUUUAGGGUUUCACCUUAAACCCUAAUUGGAUAACUUAGACUCCAAGUUAAUCCAUAUCCUUUCCUUAGAUAACCCCUUGGACGAUUUUGAGCUAUCCUGGGCUCACAAAUCCGUCGAAUCCUUUAUCUAUAAGGAUAUAUAGCCUAAAGUGUAACUAUCAAACAAUUCACAGUUUAUACCCUCAUAUUUAAUUAAUUCCUUUAAGUCACCAAAUUAAUACUGAUUAAUCUAUGACUUACAUUAAUUAAAUAACUAUAUUAUUAAUCCUUAUAUUAUCUCCAUAAUAUAUUAAUAAUAUCUAUUCUCUCUUAAUAAAUCAUCCUAUCAAGUUGCUAUGGUGAAGGCAACCCAAAAGGACCAUGCAUAAUCGGGUCAAGUACUUGCCUAAUAUAGUUGCAGUCUUAGACACUAUUCCAACAGUCUCCCACUUGGAUAAGUCUAGUAACUAUAUGCGCUAGUACAACUCGAUUUGCAAUCGUAGCUCUCAAAGACGCUGUCAAACUCUUAUCUAAUCAAUCUUUUCCUUUAGAUAAGGGAUCGUACAGUCCUCUGUUAGAUAUCAUGCUGACAAUUAUAUGGAAUGAUUAGUAAAGCAUUUAGGUUUCUCGAUCUCCGAUUUAUUUGACAUAGAACUUAAUCGAACACAUCAAUUCAGUUCUGACCGGGCCCGGCACCUAAGUCAAAUCAAAUCAUCGAGCGGCCGAGAUAUCUCUUCUAUCCUCUUGGGAUAAAAUUUACAGAUAAACUUCGACUUAUAUGCAUUUACUUAUUCAAUAAUCAACUAUACACAACAAUGCGUUUUAUAACAUUGAGUUACCAAUGCGUUUUCGCAUUAUCAAUGUACAAUCAAUUAGCAAAUAAUAAACCAUAUAUCUAGGUUUUAAGACUAUAUGAUAUUAUCGUCUUGCGAUCACCNACUAUACACAACAAUGCGUUUUAUAACAUUGAGUUACCAAUGCGUUUUCGCAUUAUCAAUGUACAAUUAAUUAGCAAAUAAUAAACCAUAUAUCUAGGUUUUAAGACUAUAUGAUAUUAUUGUCUUGCGAUCACCUUUUAUAUCAUAUUCCAUACGGUGAUUCCAGCAAGCGCGGGUUUAUUCCAAUGCUCAAAACCGGUUCAUAAGCACUCAUGAACGUCGCGGCAAUCUUUUGCUAUGUCUAAUACCAUUUAGACAAUCUACGCACCAAUUCACGACAAUCUUCAUUCAUAUCUACUUCCAACAUAUGAACGAUUGUGGACCAUUUGAAUAAUUCGAUUAUUCCUAAUAAACUCAAUUAUUCUGGAAGUCAAAACAUGCAAAAUGAAACAAUAGUUAAACAAUUAACAUAAGACAGUAACUUUACUCAUAAAUAAAACUCCUUUAUUUAAUCAUCAAAUGUCAAUUACAUUUAUCUAUUACACGUUUCUAAACCUAUCUAAUCUAUGCUAAUAUCAUCCCUUAGCCCAAUGCUCUUAGCAUGCUGCAAGUGCUUAACCCUACUCAGUCCCUUCGUAAGUGGAUCUACUGGGUUAUCUUCUGAUGAUAUCCUUUUUACUAUGAGUUGUCCUUCUUCUACACGAUGUCUGAUGAAGUGGUAGUUUCUGUCGAUAUGUCGAGAUCUACCAUGAUCCCUCGGUUCCUUGGUCAAGGCAACCGCUCCUUCGUUAUCACAGAAAAUCUCCAUGGGCUCCUUUAUGGCGGGGUCAACUCCAAGAUCUCCGAUGAAGUUCAUCAGCCAUAUUGCCUCCUUCGACGCUUCACUCGCUGCAAUGUACUCAGAUUCGCACGUUGAAUCAGCUACGGUUUCUUCUUUUGGAACUCUUCCAAGUAACUGCUCCUCCAUUUUGGGUAAAGACCCAACCCGACUGCGAAUGGUAGUUGUCCCUAUCGGUUUGAAAACUGGCGUCACUGUACGCUCGAACCUUCAAGUCAUCACUACCUCCGAGGACUAAAAACCAUUCCUUCAUCCUCCGAAGGUACUUAAGGAUAUUCUUUACAGCAAUCCAAUGUGCUCUGCCAGGGUUCCCUUGAUAUCUACUAACCAUGCUCAAAGCAAAGGCUACAUCAGGGUGAGUACAAAUCAUAGCGUACAUGAUUGAGCCAACGGCGGAAGCGUAUGGAACUUGGCUCAUUUCAGCUAUCUCAGCUUCGGUACUCGGACUUUGAGUCUUACUCAAUUUGGCAUUACUUUGUAUCGGUAAUUCUCCCUUUUUCGAGUUUUCCAUACUAAAAUGUUUUAGUACCUUCUCUAAGUAAGUGUUCUAACUAAGUCCAAUUAGUCUCUUACUUCUUUCUUUUACUAUCCUUAUUCCCAAGUUGCUAUGGUGAAGGCAACCCAAAAGGACCAUGCACAAUCGGGUCAAGUACUUGCCUAAUAUAGUUGCAGUCUUGGACACUAUUCCAACAGAAGCUUCAUUAUCAGGUAAAAAGUUCAGAUCUUGUCACUUGGUUCAUGUUAUAUGCUUUAAGUACCAUUUUCUAUGGUUUUAGUCCCAAAGGUGGAGACUUUUUGUGCAAAUGGUCUCCAUAAGCGUAGAUCCGUCAUACUUCUGGUCUUUUGGAGUUGUAGACUCAUAAAAAUGACAUCUUGGACGUAAAUGUUGCACCAUGCAUGAGAUCUAGGUCCUUGAGUUGGAAUAGAAUGAUCUUAAGAAGUGUUGGAGCCUUUACAGCCAUGCCAAGGCUUAAAGGUCUCGACUUUAUGGGUAUAGACGCAUAAACAAAGCUGGAUCUAGAAGUUGGAGUAAUGGCUUAACCGAUUAAGACCAGAAAUGAUGUAUGCUAAAGUCUGAUGGUUACGCUGGGCGUAACUCCCAGUACGCGCAACGUACUGGGUGGAGACCCCGAUCCAUGGGUUCAUGAUGUACGCCCCGCGUACAUCAAGCAGUACGCCCCGCGUACUCAUAGGGUUGACUUUUGUUGACUUUUAGGGUUUUUGUGAACAUGAAGACUUUGGGUCAAGGAAGGGUAAAAUGGUCUUUUACCCUCUGAGGAAUGAUGAUAAGGAGUAAAUUUUUAGUUGUGGAAGUCUUUGAUUAUUAAAUGAUAUUUUUAUGAUUAGGCGAGGUCGAGUCGUCGUUGGCAUUUGGAGAUAUCGAGUACGCGGGAUCUUAGACUUUCCACGAGGUGAGUUUUCUCACUAUACUGUACCCGGAAGGGUUCUAUCGUGUGACCGGAAGGUCGGAUAUGUUAUGUGUUAUAUGCAUUGUAUGUGAUAAGUUAAUCGUUUAUAUGUGCGAUGUAUGAUACGCUUUAUGUUAUGGGCCGGAAGGCGUUUAUGUUAUGGGCCGGAAGGGAUUGUGAUGUGAACUGUAAGGUUGACGUAGGUAGGACCGGAAGGUUUACCUAGUCGAGACGGAAGUCCCCUGAGACACGUGGACCGGAAGGUAAUGGCCUGGAAAGGCGUAUGUGCGUAAGUUGUAUUUUGGGGAACUCACUAAGCAAUUAUGCUUACAGUUGUUGUGUUAUGUGUUUCAGGUACUAGCAAGGACUGUGGGAAGGCGCCGGCGUGAUUGUACACACUAACGGAGAAACUGUUUUUAUGAUCAUGGGAUGUAUUUGUUAUGAUAACAUUGUUCACGUUUGAAUUUCGAAUAUUAAACGAUGGUUUUUGACGUUUGCAAAAAUUAAAAAUCUGUUUUAAAAUUUACGUUGUUACACUAACGCCCAGUAUUAGCGAUCAGAACAUUUCUAGAAUCAGCCAUAUCGGGUUACGGCAAUUUGGCCGGGUGCGACCAAAAGCCGCGUCUAACUCCGGUAUCGGGUAGAAUUCUACCGUGUCCCGAACUUGGACACUAUUUAAAGUGAUCCAAGCUUUCAUUUGAAGCUUUUGCUUCAUUUCACAACCAUCUCUCUAAGCUCUCUCCUAAAUCCGUUUAAGGGUNAAAUCCAAGUUUAAGGGUUCAAAUCUCAAAUUUAAGGCUUCUAAUCACCAAGAUUAAAGCACGAAUUAGGGUGCUUUUGACCUUCAAAUUCGAGAUUAAAGCAUGAAUUAGGGCCUUGUAUAUGAGUUUACGGCCCUGGAAGGUGCUUAGGCUGUAAACACAUAUUUAGAGGGUUUUUAAGCCCUUAAACCCUUCCAAAACACAAACAAGACUUAGAUAUGACUUCUAGAAUAUUGGUAUUGGCCUUAGAACAUCAUAAACAUAAAUUUUGAGGACCAAAUGAGAGUUUACGGUCAAGGCACAUGCUUGGGCCGUAAACCCUUCAAACAUGGGGAGUAAACUCCUCUAAAGGUGUUAAAAUGCCACUUUAACACACCUAAAGCCUUGGGAUAAAUUCUAGAAGUGUCUACAAACAAGUAAUUGACCUUAAAACAUAAUAAAUCACACAUCAAGGGAGCUCACGGCCAUGAGAGGGGUUCAUGGGCCGUAAAAAUCCAUACAAGGCUAGGAAAAAUCAUUAGAAUCACAUGUGAUUAAUUUAAGACCACCAAGAAACAUUUUAAGUAUACAUAUAAGAGUUUACGGCCAUAAACAUAGAGUUUACAGCCGUAAACUCCUCAAAUGGUCCUUACUUUGUUCAAAAUUCAUUUCCAAGCCUUGAAACCAACCUUAGAAAUUCCCUCUUGUAUGAUCCAAGCCAUUUUGCACCAAAAGCACCCCCACCAUGAGUUUACGACCGUAAACUCAUGGGGAAUGGGGCUUUAGGGCCGAAAACACUCCUAUGAGUUUACUCUUGAAGAGUAAACUCCAAUGCCUAGUGAUACAAGUCCUUAAACGCCACCCGGGUCACUCCAAACACUCGCUUUGAGGUGUUUUCGUUCAUUGGAGUGUAAUAUCAUAUCAAAUUAGAUUUUAUGAAUCUAAUUAGAUAUAUUUGUAUACCAUUUCAUAUUACAUAGGAACCUCGCGUGUUAUCUAGCCUUGAUUCGACGUUUAGCAUUCCUUUCGACACAUUUCCGCGUCCGGUGAGUUCAUACCCCUACCCUUUUUCAAUGGUUUUUCAAUGUUUUCAGGGGGGAAUACAAAGCAAGAGUACAAGAAUAUCUUGUACUUAAACUCAUGAUUUCAAUUAAAUGGUUUCAUAAUUGUACACUUUUAAGAAUUGAAAACCUUUUAACAAACUGUUUUAACUUGCAGAAUUGUUUGUUUAAAAUAGAUUUUCAAUUCUUAUUAUAUACUGAUAUGUUGUAUACUUUACAAUUGAUUGUUCACACUUAUAUUGAUAGAGAUUAUAAAACAUUAGUAAAGUCUGUAAUAAAUUACCCUAGGCACAAGUAUAAAAGACAGACACCAUUAGAACACAUAAAACAUUUAUGUCCUUAAUAAUACACCUAGGCUCGAGUGUAAAGGACAGUCGUCAUUAGAAAACAUAGAACAUUUGUAAUGUCCUUAAUAAAACACCUAGGCUCGAGUGUAAAGGACAUGCACAUUACAAAUUAGUUAGUCAUAGAUACUACUUCCUUAGGCACUUGAAGUAAAGAGUAAUCUUAAAGAUUGGAGACACGUCCUCUAUAACACUUCCUUGGCACAAGAGAGUGGCGGACUAACCCUGUAACCAGAAUCUCGAGGAGGGAGAACGUGACUUGAGUGUAUAGAUCUAUACGGGACUAACAAUCCCACACCUGGCUGCUAGCUACAGCCAAACCGAAAGCUUUAAGGGUGACGAAAGUCAUAAAAAGGAUACUGGCCCUGGCCCGAGUCAUAUCUAGUCUGAGUAUGGUUAAGGACUCGCAGUAAAGAUUAUUGACACUUUACACGUAUUUAUUAGUUUUGUGUACGUAAUAAAACUAAUGUAGGUUUAAGGAUAACCGGACUUUCAGUACACACACACACAUUCAGGAAAACAUGGGUUUUUCCUGGGGAUAACAUCGAACAUAAUCGGAAUCGGUAACAAUACACAUACACACAUUCAGGAAAACAUGGGGUUUUCCUGGGCAUAACAUUGAACAUAAUCGGAAUCGGUAACAGUACACACACACACAUUCAGGAGAACAUAGGGUUUUCCUGGGGAUAACAUUGAACAUAAUCGGAAUCGGUAACAGUACACACACAUAUUCAGGAGAACAUAGGGUUUUCCUGGGGAUAACAUUGAACAUAAUCGGAAUCGGUAAUAGUAUACACACACACAUUCAGGAGAACAUGGGAUUUUCCUGGGGACAACAUUGAACAUAAUCGGAACCGGUAACAAUUCGUACACACAGAAUCAGUAACAGUUCACACACACAUGUAGGAAAAUAUAGGAUUUUCCUGAGUAACCAUAGUACGUCACCAGAAAAGUGUAACAAGUUCGAUAACUAAACUUGCAAUUCACAAGAACAAUCAUGUUUUCAUUGUACAUCAUUUACAUUACUUUUCGGAUUUGGUAACCAACUUUUAAGAAAAUAUGGGAUUUUCUUGGAUAACCACUUUUCAGGAAACUAAAGGAACUCGUACAUUUUCUGAAAAACAAACAUCUUAUGAACUCAUCAGCUUUAUGCUGAUUUUCAAACCGCUUGUAUUCUCAGGUCCACGUUAGACAGGUACUCGUAGAUCCUUUUGUACGAAGACGGAGUUCUCAGAAGACCCGUUUCGUGUUGUUCAUAUAUACUAUUAUGUAUCACUUGUAUAACUUAUGCUUAGAGAGUCUAGAGAGGUAAAAUUAGAAACUUUAUCCACUGUGGCCUUAGAAUGGACCAUAUAUGGGCAUUAGAUAUCUUAAGAUCAAGGAAAUCGACUUAAUCCAUUAAGCUGUUUGGGAGCCUAGUGCCCCCGACGUGUCCAAGGUCCCCACGAUGUGGCAGCCGGGCUAAGUCUUGAUUGUAUUGUCAGCUAGUAGACACGACAUGGCAAAGGAUGGCCAGAACGUGGCGACCAACCACAUUCGACUCUGACCAAAUUUGACCUAAGUGUAUUUUGGGUACUUUGAGUGGUAUUUUGAGAAUGAUCACUAAUUGAUGAAUAGGUGAUGGGUGGACUUGAGAUUUGGAGCAGAGACAUAUUGAGCUAUUUGUUCAGACUGAUAGGUGAGUUUUCCUAACUGCACUUGUGGGCCGAAGGCACCAAGGCUUGCCUAAUAGAUUAAUAUCCUGUUUGAUACCGAUUGAUGAUAUGUUGAGUAUGUGAUAGGCCUGUAUGAUUAUCUGAUAGUUAUUGAUAUGGAUUAGACUGGCAGGUCUGAGGGCUAUCAGUAAUUACUGGCUAUAUAAAUAUCUAUCUGCUGAAUAUGUAUAUUAUCUAUUAUAUGUCGACAUGUUUUUAUAUUGUGAGUUAACAGACCAGGGCAAUACAAUCAGGAGGUUGUGGGACAAGGAUAAUUUAACCGGGAGGUUGUGGACCCAGAACGUUAUAUGCAUGGAAAUCCAACCGGGAGGUUUUCGGCCAGGGUAAUCCAACUGGGAGGUUGUGGACCAAGUAUACGAUAUUCAAGGCAAUCCAAGCGGGAGGUUGUGGACCUGAGGGUAUUCCAGUCCGAUGGUUGAGUGGACCCAGCUUGUAUGAUUGUAUAUGUUAUAUGUUAUAUCUUGGUACUUUGGGGGAACUCACUAAGCUUCGUGCUUAUAGUUUCAGUUUAUUGUGUCACGUACUCCAAAUGAUCAUGGCAAGGCGAAGUCGUGAUCGUGCAUGUCCUUCUGGUUCUUAUGAUAUUGGAUUUUGGGACUCUCUGAUUACUGAAAUACAAUUUUGAAACAAUGGUUUUUUAUAUAUUUAUCGUUUUUGGUUGUUUUUGAAAAGUUUAAAUUUAUUGUGAUUUUUGGGAUGUUAAAAGUUGGUAUCAAAGCCCUGGUUUGAGUAAAUUGGAUGAACAUUCUUGUGAAUCCAGACUCAAACUAAGGAUCUGUGAAAGUUUUCAAAUUAUUUUCAAUUAAAUUCAAAUUAUUUGCUAUAGCAACCAAGGAAGGAUGAGAUUUGUAUGAUCAGCCGGAGCAAGAAAGUUUACCCCAAGUUACCACAUUGUUACUUGUUUAUGAUAAUUAUGGUAGAAGUGCAUGCUAGUGAUAGUCUAGGGUUCUUUAGGAAUUGCAUAAUAGAAUUUUAUGUGGUAUAAUGCCUGAUAGCCUAAGAGGACUUCUUAUAUUUUAGAUGAAAUUGACAUCAUUACUAUACUUACUUAGUCUGUGCGUCAUAGUUAUACAUAACAAAGAUUCUAUAGCCUGGGAAUGCUUGAUUUAGCUUUAUUUCCUGUUACUGUCUGGUUAUGGUCUUAUGGUAGAUUCCAGUAUUUGAUUGUGUAUAGGAUACAACGUUAGGUAUGAUAAGCAUGCACAAGUGGUUAUAGGGUUACCGGAGGUUUAAUGAGUUGGUAUAGUUCAUAGCAGGAUAGUGUGAGGAGUGAUGAUCCACUCUUGAGAGAGUGAGGACAGGAUGAAUGUGUAUCGUAGAUGCUUGGGCUUAGUGGUUGGGAAUUUCGUAUGAGGAUUUGCCUGAUUUCAUUGUGUUUUAGUGCAAGUAGACCCCCAAACUCGAAUGUUGCUUCCUUUUUGCUUUGUGGGAAUCACAUUGAUGUGACUUAAUUAUCAAAUGAGUAUGCUAAAUUACAUACUACUAAGGUUAAAUAAUCUUAGAGUGAAGUAUUUCGUCCUAUUGAACCGCUCUCGUCCAAUUCUAAACGUUGUAGGGUUGAGUGUUUUAGUCAAAAAAUUAUUUAACUUUUGUUGCAUGUAAUUGGAUUCUUGAAGUGGCUAGCUGAAAUCAAUAGGGUUUCUUUAGCAGCUGAUGGAAGGGGAGGUGGCGAAUCCCUGGGGGACCUAGGAACUGUUGGAUAUAGUGUCUAAGUCCAUAACUUUAUUUGGUAUGUACUUGACCUGACCCCGCAUGGGUCAUUCGGGUUGCAUGAAAUUGCAAUACUUGGAUAGACUAAAUGAGAGAAAAGAUACUUAUGAUUAUUAAUAUAUUAUAAGUUCUAAUAUAUUAAUAAUUGUAUUAUUUAAUUAGUGUUGAUCAAGUAUUAAUUUAGAAUUAAUUUGGUGAUCUAGAUGAAACUAAUUAAAUAUGUAGGGUUGAUUAUGACAAUCAUCUAAUAUUUUAUAGUAGAUUAAUGAUCCAUGAUUUAUGUGUUUGGGUUAUAACCAUUUGGAGCUCCAUUGAUAGUUCAUGGGAGUUACAAACCCAUGGAUCAUUAGAAAUGAAGAGUCAUGACAAUUAACAGCAUUCAUGUGAAAACCCUAAUUGUGACAACACUAUAAAAGGGUCCAUACUUCUAGCAAAAUUGGUUACUAGUGAGUUCUUAGAGGGCAUAACCGAUUUUUGAGUGCAAGUGUAUUCUCUCAAGUUAUUCCAAGUCUUGUAGUGUUGUGUGAAGCAUUUGAGGCACUAAAUUUGGGGUGCUAGGCUCAAAAAGUUUUCUAGGAAUCCAAACAACAAACAAGGUAUGUAAUUCAAUCUAGUUUUGUUAUUCAUGUACGUUGGAUUGCAUGCUAGAAAUGAUAAAUCUUUGUAAAUCAUUUUGAAUGUAGAAUAGAGAAAACAUAGUUCCAAAGCUUGUAGGGUUGUAUGUGCACCUUAAAGAUGUUAGGAUGCUCAAAACCCUUCGGUGGUAUCAGAUCCUAGGUUUGUUUUCUAUUAUAUUGUUGUUUAUAUGAUUUUGCAAAGCUGAAUUUUGUCCAGACUGCAAAACUCGACGAGCUCAUGCAAGGAACUCGACAAGUUUUCUCAAGAAACUCGACGAGUUUUGUGUUCUGACAGUUUGUUGUUUGAGUUUUGCUGCUAGAAAUGGGCUUGAAUCAUUACCAAAUUGUUUUGGACUUAUGGAAUCUGUUUUUGAUGAUUAUAAUGAUUAUGUUAAUCCAUUUCCAAUGGUGAUUAUCAAAAUUUCAAGUGUUAUAUGUGUUAAUGUGAUUUCUUGAAAUUGUUUGAUAUGAAUAUUUGUUCUUAUGAUUUUUAGAAGAUCAAAGGAAUUAUGUGUAACUUACAUGCUUGUUUAAUUAAUGAUCUUAGUGCUAAUGAUGGUGUCGAUGACUUGUCCUCAAGUUAUGGAUAACCAAAAGUCACCUCUUUAAAUUGUUAUUAAAGAACAAAGAGGUUUCAUAAAUGAAGAGUCUUCAUUUUUAUGAACCAUUAAAACUCAUAAGUUACAAAUUGAAGAGUCUUGAAAUAGUUUCAAAACUUGCCCUCAAGUUUUGGAAUUUGUAAAGUCUUACACUUUAAUACUUUAAUUCCGAAUCAAACCUUAGAUUUUUAAAAGGUUUAAAAAUCAACACUUAUACAAUUAUUAUAAUCUUAUUUAUAUAGAUAUGUAUAAGAAUAUGUCAUUCUUACUGUUAGUAGGCCUUAUUCACAAAGCCGGUUUAUAAGGGGGGUAUAAGGUUACCGCCUAUAAAAUGGUGGUUUAAUGGGUGUCCACUCUCACCCACCGCUUCAUUGACUGGUGAAGGGUCGUUAGCCGAACGGGUAGGAUACGACUUUAAUUCUCAUUAAAAGUAUAAUGAAUUAUAAAGUAAGUAUACAUUAUUAACUCCUAAUCUUAGUUACUUUAGGAAAAAUUUGAAAUAGGUGCUAGCCCAUAAAAUUACACUUUGUACCUUACCAAAUCGUUAGUGGAGCAUGUGGGGUUAACCGGCACACUAACAAGGACUAGUAAGUGUAGCAAAGGGUAACUUGACUUUAUUAUAGAUCAGUGGAGCGUGUGUGGUUAACCGUCACAUCGGUUAGGUAAUAUAGUUAACUGUACUGAGUCAAUUUGUAUGGUUAUUCACACCUUGUUUGUGAUCCUCGACAUCCCAAUCACAAACUUGAGAGGGCACAAUCGAGAUUCAAACAUGCCAUUGAAAAGUUCAAUGUAUCUCAGAAAGAUCUAGGAAUUUCAAAUCCAAUAAAACCUAAUAAUAAAAUAUUUCGUUCUUAUAGUGGAAACUAGUAAAUCGUCAUUUACCUACCUUCAAAUAUUUUAUAGCUUGGAUUACGACAUCCCUCUUCCAUAUAUAAAUAGUUUGUUGGAUCCUAGCCUUAAUAUUUCAUUUGGGUGACUUAUUAAGGACUCUUAAUCUAAUGAAACUUGUUUUUCUUUUCUUUCAGAUGUCUUCCAACAAUGUUGCUGGCUCACACCCAACAGGCUCCUUUUCCCUAAUGAACUUGUGUGGGAAAGUCACUUUUGAUGGAUCCAACUUCAAUGAAUGGAUCAGAAACUUCAGGAUGAUUUCCCGCAAUGAGGACAAGGAGUAUGUCCUCGAUAGGGAGCUUAAGGUUGUGAAUGAAGCCACUGCUACUCCUGAAGAGGUUGUGGAGUUUGUUGCACAUGAAAAGUAUGCUACUAAGGUAGCAUGCAUCAUGAUGGCCACCAUGACUCCCGAACUUCAAAAAUCCUAUGAAGAUUUCUACCCCUAUGAGAUACACCAGGAUCUGAUGGAAAGGUACCAUCGAAGCGCGCGUUAGGAGAGGUAUGAAAUCAUUUCCUCCAUGCUAACAAACAGAAUGAAAUAUGGUGAACCCAUCGGAGGUCACUUAUAGAAAAUGCAAAGGUUUAUGGACCGAUUACUAAAGCGCAAUGUUGACUUCCCUGAGGACUUGGUGAUUGAUAUCGCUCUCCAUUCCUUACCUCCAAGUUAUGAUCAGUUUCGUAUGACUUAUCAUAUGAACAAGGAUGAAGUCACACUUAGCAAGCUUCAAGGAGUCUUAAGGACAGCAGAAUUUGGUCUUAAGGGUAAAGCGGUUGUUACUUCUACUUCCACUCUUUCAGCAGCCCCUGUUCUUGCAAUUGGGCAGAGAAAGGGUAAGAAGAGGAAAACUCCUUCAAAGGAUACCAAGGGUAAGCCUGUUGAUGGUUCCUCUUCAAGUGGGACAAAGAAAGGUCCCAUUACUUCUUCUUUAAACCCAAAUGAAGCACAAUGCUUCUAUUCCCAGGAAAAGGGGCACUGGAAGCGAAGCUGCCCCAAAUACCUACAAGAUGUAAAGGAUGGGAAAGUCAAACCCACCUAUGUAGGUAUUUAUACAAUAUUGCCUAAUAACUCAUCUAAUGCUAAUUCUUUUGUGCUUGAUACAUGUUGUGGUAUUCACAUUUGUACUAAUUUGUAGGGCCUAAGAAGAAGUGAGCAAGUGGAGCAUGGGAAGAUAAACUUAGUCAUGGGCAACAGGAAAGCAUCACAUGUAACCAAGAUAAGAGUUUAUUCAUUAUUUCUUAAUAAUGGGUUAAUGUUAGAUGUGAAUAAAUGUUGCUACUCGCCUGAAAUGGUGUGAAAUAUUAUUUCUUUUCAUGGCUUGUACAAACAAGGUUUUACAUUUUCAUUUGAAAAUAAUAAUGGUGCUAUUAAUGUUUAUUACAAUGAUGUAUUUUACUUUAAAGCAUUACCUUGUGAUGGUGUAUAUGAAGUUGCGAAUGUUGUAGACAAUUUAGGAAAUAAUGUGUUGUAUAUUGAUUCUUCAAAUAGCUCGGAUAAAGCAUCCUUGUGGCAUUGUCGUCUUGGACAUGUCAACAAGAGGCGAAUAUGCCAACUCCAAAAGGCUAGAGUCUUGGAAUCAUUUGAUCUAAAGUCAGAUGAUAUUUGUGAGUCUUGUUUGCUUGGAAAAAUGACAAAGUCACCCUUCACAGGUUCUUGUGAUAUGGGUGAAGGUUUGUUGGAGCUCGUACACAUAGAUGUGUGUGGGCCCUUCAGAGUUGCUACAAGGGAUGGUAAUCGCUAUUAUUUGACUUAUACUGAUGAUUACAGCAGAUAUGGAUAUAUCUACUUAAUCAAGCAUAAUUUAGAAACCUUUGAAAAAUUCAAAGAGUUUAAACAGGAAGUUGAGAAUCAAUUGGGCAGGAACAUCAAGAUGCUCUGAUCCGAUCGGGGAGGAGAGUAUCUUAGCAUUGAGUUCCUUGACUAUCUUAAGGAAUGUGAGAUUGUCUCACAGUUGACACCUCCUAGGACACCACAUAUGAAUUGUGUGGUCGAGAGGCGCAAUCGAACCUUGUUGGAUAUGGUUCGUUCCAUGAUGAGUCGAGCUUCGUUACCAAUCUCUUUUUGGGGUAAUGCCUUAGAGACUGCCGCCCAUAUCCUUAAUCUAGUCCCUACUAAAAAGGUUGCCAAAGCACCUCACAAGGUGUGGACUCGGAAAGUUUCCAAUUUAGACCACAUCAAAAUUUGGGGUGGUGAAGCUUUCGUGAGGCGUGAGACUAAUGAUAAGCUUGAACUUCAAAGUGAGAGGUGUAUUUUCAUCGGCUACCCACAGAGAUCCUUUGGUUACCUCUUCUACAGACACAAUGGUAAUGAGGUCUUUGUAGCAAGAAGAGGAGUCUUUCAUGAGAGAGAAUUUAUAAGCCAAGUGGACAGUGGGAAGCAAAUUGACCUUAAAGAGCUUCAAGAGUCAAGUGGUGAAGGAACCUCAAAUACCAUCGUCCAACCUAAGGAAGAAACUCCUGGUGAGCCGAUAGACGAGUCUGUACCUCCAAGGCAUUCCACUAUAGUGAGGAACACACCUGAAUUUUAUUAUGGUUACCAGAUCACUACUGAAGGUGAUACAUUUAUCAGUGAUAGUACACUAGUAGAUCUUGAUGAACCUAUUAAUUAUAAGGAAGCAAUGGCAGGCUGGGUCUUUAUCCUAAAUGGACGGGCAAUUACUUGGAAAAGUUCCAAGCAGGAGACAGUAGUUGAUUCAGCUUGUGAAUCAGAGUAUAUAACAGCAAGCGAGGAAGCAAAGGAGGUAAUAUGGCUAAAGAACUUCUUCGGAGACCUUGGAGUUGUACCGGUUAUAAAGGAGCCAAUGGAAAUUUUCUGUGACAGCGAAAGUGUGGUUUCUUUGGCUAAGGGACCAAGAAAUCACAGGAGAUCUAGGCACAUUGACAAAAAAUACCAUUUCAUCAGACAUCAAAUAGAAGAGGGAAUCCUCGUGGAAAAGAGGGUAUCAUCAGAUGAUAACCCAGUAGAUCCCCUCACGAAGGGACCGAGUAGGGUUAAGCAUUUGCAGCAUGCGAGGCACAUCAGGCUGAAGGAUGAUAUUAGUUUCAAUAAUUAGAUUUCUGAAACUUGUAAAAAUUUACAUUUGAUGAUUAAAUAAAAGUUGUUAUUUAUUUAUGAGUAAAGUGUUACUAUCUUGUGUUAAUCGUUUACUAUGUUUCAAUUUUGCAUGUUUUGACUUCGAGAACAAUUAUCUUAUUAUUCAAACUCUCCAUAGUCAGUCAAACUUUGGAAGUAGGUACUGAUUUAAUACUGUCAUGAAUUUGGCUUGUAUGAUUUGUCUAAAGAGCAUUAGACAUAGCAAUUGUUUCUACAACAUUCAUGAGUACUCAUAAGGCCUAAGUAUUGGAUUCAACCCACACUCACUUGCAUCACUUUGUGGAAUUUAUCUCGAGUGAUCGUGAGACGGUAAUAUCAUAUAAAUCUUCAAACCUACAAAUAUGAGUUGUUGACUAUGAGUUGGUUAUUCAUUGAUUGUACAAAAACGCAUUGGUAACCCGAUGUUAUAAAACGUGCUUGUGUGCAUAAUUCAACAAGUAGUCAGUACAAGCAUAUGAGUCGAAGCUUAUAUGUUCCUUCUAGAAAUAGAAGCGAUAUCUGGGCCCCUCGAUGAUUCGGUUUUGACUUAUGUACCGGGUGUAACAUCCAAAAUUUCAAAAUAAUUAAAACUUUUCAAUAUCAUCCAUUUUAUUAACAUUGUUACAAAAAGGUUUUCAAUACAUUCUUUAACAGAGUAAUUUCCCAGGUUCAAAACAUAAAACACCAACGCGAGGAACGGUACGAUCACACCUUUGCCUUGUCACAGACUCUUGAGAACCUGAAACAUAAAACCACAACUGUAAGCCCGAAAGCUUAGUGAGAUACCCCCAGAAUACCAACCACAUAUACGCCUUUCCAGGCCCUGACCUUCCGGUCCUCAACACAACAUAAUCGCCUUCCGGCCCAAAAUAUAUUGCCUUCCGGCCCAUAACAUAUUGCCUUCCGGCCCAUAAGCAUACAAUGAAUACAUAACAUACAAAUAAUCAUAUAGCAGUUCAUAGACAACAAACGAUCAACAGAUCACAUACCAUAGCAUUACUCUAAACGAGAUACCGGUCCGGCCGGUCACUAGCAUACCUUACUCUAUGAAUCAGUCAACAUACUAAAUGCAUACAUACGCCUUUCCAGGCCAUGACCUUCCGGUCAACAUAGUAACGCCUUCCGGCCCAUGACAUGUAUUGCCUUCCGGCCCAUAACAUAUAACAACUGACAACUACCCGGAUUUCCAUCCGAUAAAAGGGUUGGCAGUGGUGCCAUAAACCCUAGCGAUAUAGUGAGGAUAACUCACCUCGAAAUUGCCGACUGAACAGAUAGCUCAAGCUGCUCCGAUCACUGAUACGAUCUCCACCUCUGGACAGUCACCAAUGCACUGAACUCAAACAAUAACAACAAUUACCAAAAUACCCCUGGAACCACUGGUAAAUCCUUGGACAAAGACAAGGUCAAAGUCAACCCCUGACUGACCCUACUCGUCGAGUCAACCCUGUGACUCGCCGAGUCCCCAUACUCAGAACUUCACUCAACCCGCGACCUAACUCGCCGAGUCACCCCAAGACUCGCCGAGUUCUACGACUCUGAGUCCGCUCGUCCUUGACUCACCGAUUCCUUAAGAUUCCCUUCCUACACGUCGAGUAUCCCCUUUUUACUCGACGAGUUUCUCCUGGAAGAAUCGCGGGGCCACCCCGACUCCACUCGCCGAGUCUGGCGAACUACUCGACGAGUCCCAGAUAUUCUUCAAGCUACUCGCCGAGUCUGUUCAUCAGACUCGUCGAGUCCAUGCUAUGCAGUCGAUCAAGCUGCUUCCUGGGACAGUUAUGGUUCCGAAAUACACAAGCAUGGAAAUGAUCCGUUUGAUUAACAAAGUAAUAAUCCAUCUAAUCACCAAAUGGGUUCCAUAAACCCUAGAUUCAUGCACACAUCAAUGUAGCAGAAAUGAUCCGAGAUAUUACCUGAAUAACACCCUCUCAGUGUCCCCAAACCUCAGAACUCGAUCUCCUUGAUAUUCCUUUGGCCAAAACUCUUCUUCUUCUUGCCUAACAAAUUCUUCAAGGCUUCACUAGCUUCCUCUCCUGCUCUUGACGUCCACAACGAUUAGGGUUCUUCUCAAUCGGCCAAAAGACUGACAAUGACGGCCUAAGAGGCAUUAUAUACGAUCCAACACCAAACGGCUAGGGUUUCUGCUGAACAGCGUUGACUCGCCGAGGCCAUAUCUGGACUCGUCGAGUCCAGUCGCGAACCCGCGACCAAGUCUGCGGUCCUACUCGGCGAGUCUAGGCUCCAACUCGCCGAGUCCCUUCUCAAAACACCCCUAAAUCAUAGUUAUAUCGAUAUUUGAAAUUCCGGGCUGUUACACCGGGCCCGGUCAGAACCUAAUUGAUGUGUUCAAUUUAGUCCUAUGUCAAAACAAAUCAGAGAUCGAGAAACAAAUGUUGGACAAUAAGUAAGACCAUGUUCCAUGUGUUUGUCCGGCUGAUAUCUUCAGAGCAGAGGAUUAUAUGAUCACUUAUCUUAAAUGGUGUAUCAUCAACAUCUCAGUUCCGAGAGACUUCGAAAGAGCUACGAUUGCUAGUUGGAUCCUAAAGUCAUAUCUACAAAUAUAGUUAUUAGACUUAUCCAAGUGGGAGACAUGGUCCAUUUGGGUUGCAUGGCAUUGCAAUACUUGGAUAGACUAAAUGUGAGAAAAGACACUUAUGAUUAUUAAUAUAUUAUAAGUUCUAAUAUACUAAUAAUAGUAUUAUUUAAUUAGUGUUUGUGACAACCCAAGUGUUCCCGUUACAUUUUCCCCGUUACUGCUAACGGAAUAUUCCGCUGUAUAAAAGUUCUGUUAGUUAAGGGGCGUCAAUUUAAUAAACAUUCCAUUUGUUUAUAAUUCCUAUGUCAUUAAGUCGUGAUAAAAGGGAAUAAAAACACAUGACACACAUUUCCAUUAAAUUGGAAAAUGUCAAGUUUUGUUAUUACGACCACUAAAUCGGGUGCGACCAAAAGCCCCGUUUAACGGCAGUAUCGGGUAAAAUACCACUAAGCCCCGACUCAAAAUCCUAUAUAAGGGUGAGUGGAGUCCAUUGGGAGACUUUUACACUCUCUCACUAUACUUUCUCUCUAGACCCGUUUUCGCCCCGAAUCCGCAACCAAACGCUUCCAAAUUGUAAGUACGCUUACCCUAGCUUAUUCUAAACAUUAUGAUUCAUGUUUAUAGACCAAAAAUCAGACAUAGAAGCAAUGGAAAAGGAGUUUACGGCCUAAGCUCUUCCUUAGGCCGUAAACACCUAAAACAAGGCCAAAAUGACCCUAAAAUGUCCCUAAAGGCUUGGAAAUAAAUUAAGGGACUUGUGUAGGAGUGUUUAAACAUUAAAUCACAUAGAUUUAAGGGGUAAAAGAGAGUUUACGGCCCAGGCAUAUGCCAAGGCCGUAAACCCCUCUAAAUGUGCCCAAAAGUGUGGUUUUUGCCCCCCAAAUGGCCUUACACAUUUACCAUAAAAUACAAGGAAGGAUUUAAGGGCUUAAACACAAGGAAAUAUGGGUGACUUGGAGUUUACGGCCCAAGCAUUUAUCUAGGCCGUAAACUCCCCAAAACCCAUUCAAAUGUUGGUUUUAAUCCCCCACAAUAGCACCACACUUCAUAAGAAAAUUAUAGAAAGGAAAUAGAGGCUUUAAACUUCCCAAAACUCUAAGGAUGAAAGUUUACAGCCGUAAACUCCCUUAGGGGUGGUCCCUUGGCCGUAAACUCAUAGAACAUGCCCUUAGAGGCCUCAAACCCACUCAUGCCUUUUGGGAAAAGUGCUUAGAAUAAAUCAAUGAACAAGUAGAAGCCUUAAAAUAACCUAGAACCCAUCACCAUGAGUUUACGGCCAUAAACUCUUGGUGAGUAGUCCCUGGGCCGUAAACUAGUUGAUAGGGGUUUAUUCUUGGAGGGUAAACUUCAUUCCUUAGCCAUACGCACCCUUAAACGCUACUCGGGUCACCCAAACACUUAGCCAAAGUGUUUUCUGCUCCUUUGAGCGUGUAUAUUUGUUUAAUUAGUAUUAAAUAUACUAAUUGUAUGUGAACAUAACAUAUGUUAAAUAGGUCAUUGAGUGUGUUCGAGUCCUUACGUGGCACCGAACGCCCAAACGGCACUCUCGUCGGACCUACUUACACCAUGUGAGUUCAUACCCCUAAAUGAACCUUUUAAAUGUUUUUACAUGUUUUAUAGGGGGGGGGGGAAUACAAGUUAAACAUGCCAGUUAUCAUAUCAAUCACAUGUGAUUGAUAACCCGCAUGCACCAGAUUUUUACCACUAAACACUGUUUUAUCGAGUAGGACGCUAUAAUGGCUUUUCAAUCGUUAUAAAUCUCUCACUUAUACUGUUUUAUCUAAAUUCAUCUUGAACUGAUUUAUGAAAGAUUUCCAUAGGUUUUCAAAUAUAUUUUACAAAAGAAUCCAAAUUACGAUUUUUCCCCGAGUAUAAAGGCUUUUCCUUAAAGUUUCCUUUUUCGACGUACAUGCUUACUUAUUAGUUACCGCUGCUUCGCUUUCACUUAUUUUAGAUUCCUACUUGAUAACUCUUUCCCUUUGUGAUACACUUAUACCUGUUAUUGUCUCUAUUUCACUUAUACUUGUAGUCGCUUAGACCUGAUAGACGCUCUUACUUCACUUAUUCUCGUCUCCACCCCGUGAUACGCUUAUACUUAUGCGACACUCUUACUUCACUUGUGACCGCUCCUAAUUCACUCUUUAGACACUCCUACUUCACAAGAAUCACUUAUACUUGAUACACUUAUACUUCACGAUUCUGUUAUUCGACACUGUAUGAAUUCACACCACGAUGAUACUUUUCCACUUGUUACACACUCAGUCGUAGUUAGAUGUAUGUCUGUGCUUAUAUAGAUAUAUAUAAGUAACGAUUGAAAGACUUAGGAAGGUUCGUCCGCCCUAUUUCCUUUUCUUCGUUUAGAUGUGGUCUGGUGGGAUCGGAUGGCCGUCCGAAGGUCGUUUGGUUCAUUAGUUAUAUACUAUGUAUAUGAGUAUGGACAUACAGAAAAUCCUAUAGUCAGUUCAGUUAAGAGUCUCUACCACUGGUCUACGCUUACAUUAGAAACCCACUCCCCUCUAGAAACACACUAUCCUCUAUUUGGGAUGCAUCUUCGGGACGCGGCCUUCUCCGUCGUCUAGUUGGUAACCAGAGUCUCCUAUAGGGAGAGCGGACAUUGUGUGUAUAGGCCUAUACGGGAUUGACAACCCCGCACCCUAACUGCUAGCUACAGUCCCGGCCUACCAAACCAACGGGUGACAAAUGUCACAUUAUAUAGACGCUUGUAGGGCGUUUGGAACACUAGUCAGUAUGGUUACAAGUAUCCCGGGUUACCUUAUAAUUCAUGGCUUUAAGGUAACGGUAUUUCGUCAACAAUUUACACUGUAUGCUGAUGUCACUUUUUCAGAGUCACAUUGUUUUGACCUUGCGAGAUGUACCUUUCAUUUGGUAUCGUCUGCGGUAAAUUUUCACUGUUUUGACCUUGCGAGAUGUACCUUUCAUUUGGUAUUGUCUGCGGUCUAUAUUCACUGUUUUGACCUUACGAGUUGUACUUUCCAUUUGGUACCAUCUGAGGUCUGUGUCUCUGUUUGAUAGACGGAACCAGGCGUGUUGUUCAUUCGAUACUUUCCUGGAGUCUAUGAUUCCUUUGCCUUAGUCAGCAGUCCUCACUGCUGAGGCAUAUAUUGUUUCCUUGUCGUCUGUUGCUUUCUUUAAUAAUCAAAUUCAGUAUUUUGAUAAUAAUAGCAAUUAAGGGAAAACUACUUUGCACCACAUUACACUAACCAGUCUUAGUAGAAGGUAACUUUUAUUAAAGAAAAUAUAGGAUUUUCUGGAAAGAACACUAAUACACUGAAAACACUUAAACUAGUACUUUAUAAAGUUAUUUGACUAAAUGACACUAAAUACUUAUGAACUCACCAGCAUUUGUAAAAAUGCUGAUACUCGCUUUUCAAAUAACUUGUAUUCUCAGGUCAGUAAUUAGACAGGUACACCCCCGGAGCUGUUGAUGAAGAUGGCUUAGUACCUUGCUGUAUUUAUUAUAUUUACUUGCAUACUUUGAAUACUUGUAAUGUAACCAUGUAAAAUUAUUACUAUUAAUGCAAUGUUUUGGUGUACUUUGAUUACUAUAUUCAUGUGUUGUGAUACUUGACAUGACGUCAUCCACCCCAGAACGUUUCCGCCGUUCCGGUUUUGGGGUGUGACAGUGUUGAUCAAGUAUUAAUUUAGAAUUAAUUUGGUGAUCAAGAUGAAACUAAUUAAAUAUGUACGGUUGAUUAUGAUAAUCAUCUAAUCUUUUAUAGUGGAUUAAUGAUCCGUGGUUUAUGGGUUUGGGUUAUAACCAUUUGGAGCUCCAUGGAUAGUUUGGGAGUCACAAACCCAUGGAUCAUUAGAAAGGAAGAGUAAUGACAAUUAACAGUAUUCAUGUGAAGACCCUAAUUAUGACAACACUAUAAAAGGGUCCCAACUUCUAGCAAAAUUGGUUACUAGUCAGUUCUUAGAGGGCAUAACCGAUUUUUGAGUGCAAGUGUAAUCUGUCAAGUUAUUCCAAGUCUUAUAGUGUUGUGUGAAGCAUUUGAGGCACAACAUUUGGGGUGCUAGGCUCACAAAGUCUUCAAGGAAUCCAAACAACAAACAAGGUAUGUAAUUCCAUCUAGUUUUGUUAUUCAUGUACAUAGGAUUGCAUGCUAGAAAUGAUAAAGAUUUGGAAAUCAUUUUGAAUGUAUAAUAGAGAAAACAUAGUUCCAAAGCUUCUAGGGUUCUAUGUGCACCUUAAGGAUGCUAGGAUGCUCAAAACCCUUCAAGAACUGCUUUAGUGAGGUUAUUAUGUUGUUAAGUAGGUAUAUAGAGUAUUAUUCUUAGUGGUUGACUAAGAAGACUCGGGAUAAUUAUUGAGGAAAGUAUGGAUAGGUGUUGAAGGUAGUAUUGGGCCCAUACUACUGGAAGCACAGAAUCCAUACUCAAAUCGAGGAAAAAUUUGAGGAUUCUAUGGGUUGGUCCAGGAAGAUAGCAUGGUUUGACACCAUGAUUUGUGGUAGUGGUUCCAUAUAUGUCGAUCUUUUAGUUAUGAUUGUUCAGGCACGAGGAUGGGUCUAGUAAUUAUUUUAGGCCUCGGUGGUGAUGUCAGUUUAGGUUUGAGUGGUGCAAACCUAGGUGAGUUUGUUGGUUCUGAGGUCUCUAGGUCCUUGGUCAAAGACACACAUUUGAGUCAUGAGACUUAAUAAUGAAAUGAUUGUUACGAUCGCCUUAAGGAUUAAGAUGAGUGGUUGACUGAUGGAUUGGAAUGUCUCUAUCUAUGGCGAGGAUUAUGUCCUUUCAGUGUUCCGAGUUUGGAGAACAUGCAAGCAGGCUUGUGACUGUCAAAGUUAGGAUGUAAACGCAACAUGGGGAUAGUUAGUUGCGGUGUUUGGCGGUAGUAUGACAUUGUGGGAAUAUACGGGAAGAUUGAUGUGAUAUGGAUGCCUAGUGAUGCGAUCAAGGGUCUGUUUUCUUUGGAUAUACGUCGGUCAGGUACCAGAUUGACGGUCUGUAUUGUAGACGAGGAACGUAUGUUUAGGAUAGUAAGUUGGUGUUUUGUUUACGCAAUUUCAUGAAAUCUUUAUUGUUAAAGGUGGUUAUGAUUGGAAAAUUUAUGAGGUAUUCAUCAUAGAAUCUUUUAAAGUUUGCUUUGUCCUUAUCUGCAAGAUCAUCUUGCGUGUGUUAUAUAGUCAAGAGUCAGGGAUGGUUGUACCUGGUUGAGCCAGUUUGAGAUAUGGUUCGGUUGGAACACCCGUGGGUGGUAGUUUGAACCAUAUGUGGGGGAGAACUAGGUAUUCUGCUUUGAUGAUCAUCGAUCUAUUUGAGCUUGUGGUUUCAGAAGAAUGGUUCAUAGGGAUCCGCGGUGCGGGUAUGCAGGAUUUUCGUUCAAAAUAUGGACAAGUCGGGGGUGUUGAGCAAGUGGCUAUCGGAUGUAUGUGUUCAGGAGAUGAAUGAUUUGUCUCUCAGUAGGAAGUAUUUGGUCAAGAAGCUUUUUGUAACCAUUGAUUCCUUUUGGCAUGCCAAUUAAUUCAUGGGGAGGCGCUAGGAUCGCUCAAGUUGAGUAUCGGUUAUUGAGGGAUUUGGUAGCUCGUUGUAUGGAUUGCUAUUUAUAGUCUAUAUUCGACAGUUGUUGACCGAUAAAUCAGUUUUAUAGAUGGGUAUGUUCAACUUUGCAUGGGUUUUGCAUCAAUGGAUUAAGUUUUAUUGCAUCCUUAAUCAUUGGUCAUCUUAGUUGAUCAUCAAAGCGGAGGUUCUUCGAAAGUUUUGAGUUGUGUCAGUUGAUGUUUAAUGGAUACGUCAACCUAUCGUCAAGUUCCAUAUGUUUUAUAUUUUCUUUGGUUUUUGGGUAUGUUUACCCUCAAUUGUGGUGUGGAAUUUCAGUUCAUAGCAGGCUCAAGUUUGGCAGUUGUCCAUGGUUAUUGGAAGUUCGGAUGUUGGGGCAGCGUUUUUUCAUUUUUCGAGGUGUGGCUUUGAUCUACAUAGAACCUAAUUCGGGCAUGUUAUGUCGGUAGGAUUUCAAGUGAAGUUGAUUCGACUAAAGUUUUGGUCACAUUUCUACAUCAACUUGGAAGUUUUCUCGAGCUAGCUAUGUAUUGGCAGGAACUGUUCAGUUUCAAUCAAGGAGUAGGAUCUAGUUUCGGUCGUGAUGGGUUUUGAGCAUUCUAACACUUCCUAAGUGUACAUGCAACCCUAAUAACCUUGGAUCUAUGUUUGUCUAAUUAUCAUGCAAAGUUUAUUUCCAAGGUUAUGUUCCUUUCUAGCAUACAUGGUGUAACAACCCGAAACUUUUCUUCCUCGCCGUAACCGUUCCGUCAAAACUCGUCUUAAGCGAAUUGUUCCGAUUUCGUCCUGAACUAGGUCAAUUAAGUCAAAACCUUUAUUUUGACUUGGUAAAUAUCCAAACAUGUUGGAAACAUGAGAAAACGUCCCCGAACUAGUAAAUUGAAAAAUUAUAGUUUUGACCAUAUCGGGUAACGACAACUUAAUCGGGUGCGACCAAAAGCAUCGGUUAACGUCGGUAUCGGGUAAAAAUUCCACCGUGUAUCCAAGUCAAACCAUAUUUAAAGUGAUUUAAGCCUCAUUUGAAGCUUUUUCACUCUCUCUCUAACCUCUCUCCUCAAAUCCAUCUUGUGAAGCCAAAAUCAACCAUUUCAGGCCUUAAAACACCAAGGUAAGCAUCCUAACUCCUAGUAUAACAUCCUUAGCUUCCAAUUUCGUAUUUAAAUCAUGUGUUAGGACGAUAAACAUGUGUUUACGGCCCUGGAUCAGCCUUACGCCGUGAACACAUGUAAUUGAGGUUUUUGAGCCUUAAAACCCUUCCAAAUCACCAUAGGAACUUAGAUAUGGCUAAAGGAAUUAUUGGAAUGGACUUAAAACACCUUGAAUGUCAAUUUUAAGGAGUAAACAUGAGUUUACUGCCCAAGAAUAUGCUUGGGCCGUAAACUGAUUAAAUGGGUGGUAAACUCCUCUUUUGGGUGUUAAAAUGCAACUUACACACCCCUUAGGCUUUGGAAUAAAUUAUGGAACCAACAAAAAAUCAUUUAGGGGCCUUAAACACAUCAUAAACACUCUAUUUGAGAGUUUAUGGCCAUAGCAUAUACUCUAUGGCCGUAAACUCCUAAAUGGAUGCCAUUUGAAGCCCUAAACUCACCCUAAGCCUUGUAAAAAUUAGUUGAAUCACUUGUGAUUAAUCCUUGGCCUUCAAAAUAAUUAAGUUGGAUGUGGGUGAGAGUUGACGGCCGUAAACUCUUAGUUUACUACCCUAAACUCUUCUAUUAAUUCAUAUAAUGAUUUAAUCCCUUUCAAUUGCUCAAAAACCAAAUCUAGCAACACCUAUUAACUGAUUUAAGGUCAUUUAGCUCAUAAAAACACCCACCCUGAGUUUACGGCCAUAAACUCAUGGGGAUGUGGUGUUUAGGCCAUAACCACUGCCUAAGUGUUUACCCUUGAAGAGUAAACUCUAAAUCCUAGUCAUUCAUGUCCUGAAACGUCACCCGGGUCACUUCAAACGCCCAUUUUGGAGUGUUUUCGCGUCUUAGAAUGUUCAAGUGUAUCUAAUUAGUUAUCUAAAUCUAAUUAGAUAUAUUUUGUGUAUUAUUUAAUAUUACAUAGGAACCUCGCUCGUAUUCAAGCCUCGGUUCAACGUUUAGCAUCCCAUUCGACACUUUCCGCGUCCGAUGAGUCCAUACCCCUACCCUUUUUCAAUGGUUUUCAAUGUUUACAGGGGCGGGGGAUACAAGCAAGAGUACAAGAAUAUCUUGUACUUAAACUUAUGAUUUUAGUUAAAUGGUUUUACACUUGUACAUUUCUUUAGAAUUGAAAACCUUUUAACAAACUGUUUUAACUUGCAGAGUUGUUUGUUUAAAAACCGAUUUUCAAUUCAUAUUAUAUAUUGUCAUAUUGUAUGCUUCACAUUUGAUUGUUCAUACUUACAUCGAUAGAAAACAUAAAACAUUGGAAAGUCUGUAAUAAAAUACCCUAGGCAUGAGUAUAAAAGUCAGACACCAUAAAGAACACAUAAAACUUCGGUAUGUCCUUAAUAAUACACCUAGGCUCGAGUGUAAAGGAUAACAGUCAUUAGAUAAUAUAGAACAUUGUAAUGUCCUUAAUAAUGCACCUCGGCUCGAGUGUAAAUGGAUAGUCCUCAUUAGAAAACAUGGAACAUUUGAAAUGUCCUUAAUAAUAACACCUAGGCCCGAGUGUAAAGGACAGGUACGUUAGAACGUAGUUAGUCAUAGAUACUACUUCCUUAGGCACGAGAAGGAAAGAAUAAUCUUAAAGAUUGGAGACAUGUCCUCUGUAACACUUCCUUGGCACGAGAGAGUGGAGGAAUAACCCUGUAACCAGAAUCUUCGGGAGGGAGAACAUGACUUGAUUGUAUAGAUCUAUACGGGACUGACAAUCCCGCACCUGGCUGCUAGCUACAGCGAAACCGAAAGGGUCAAAGGCGACGAAAGUCAUAAAAAGGAUAUUGGCCCUCGUCUGAGUCAUAUCUAGUCUGAGUAUGGUUAAGGACUCGUAAUCUAGAUUAUUAGCACUUCAGACUCAUUUACUAGCUUUAUGUAUGUAGUAAAGCUAAUGUACAUUUAGGGGUAAUCAGACUAUCAACACACACACAUUCAGGAAAACAUGGGGUUUUCCUAUGGAUAACAAUGAACAUAAGCAGAAUCGGUAACAGUUAGCAUACACAGAAUUGGGAAUAGUACACACACAGACAUUCAGGAAAACAUGGGGUUUUCCUAGGGAUAACAAUGAACAUAACCAGAAUCGGUAACAGUUAGCAUACACAGAAUUGGGAAUAGUACACACACAGACAUUCAGGAAAACAUGGGGUUUUCCUAUGGAUAACAAUGAACAUAAUCAGAAUCGGUAACAGUUAGCAUACACAGAAUUGGGAAUAGUACACACACAGACAUUCAGGAAAACAUGGGGUUUUCCUAUGGAUAAAAAUGAACAUAAUCAGAAUCAGUAUCAGUUAACUUAUACGGAAUCAGUAAUAGUUCACACUUUCACACAUAGGAAAUUAUAGGAUUUUCCUGAGUAACAGUAGUCCGUAACCAGAAAAGUGUAAUAAGUUAAAUAACUAAACUUUACAAAUCAUAAGAACAAUCAUGUUUUUAUUGUACGUCUUUUACAAUACAAUUUGGAUUUGGUAACUUAACUAUUAAGAAAAUAUGGGAUUUUCUUGGUUAAUGACUUUUUCAGGAAACUAAAGGAACUCGUUCUUUUCAUAAAACAAACCGCUUAUGAACUCACCAGCAUUAUGCUGAUUUUCAAACUGCUUGUAUUCUCAGGUUUUCGUUAGACAGGUAUCCCGUGUUCUUUUGCAGAAGACGGAGCGAAUGGAAAUCACGUCUUUCUUUUGUUUAAACUUAUUUAUCUAUGAAAACUUGUACUACUUUACUUUUCAACUGAUGUAAUGAAAUCUAUGUAAUGUAAUGUUUUGUGUUUUACUUCGCUUACUAUGUACAUUGGUUAUGAUAUUCACAUGAAGUCACCUCCGCCCCGAGACGUAUCCGCCUUCGGUUUCGGGGUGUGACACAUGGGGAACGAUUUUUCUUUGAAUGAAAGAUAGAACUACAUACCUUGUUGUUGAAAAUGAUCUUGAAACCUUGUGAGCCUAACACCCCAAGUGUGAUGCCUCAAAUGCUUCACACAACACCAAAAUGCAAAUGAGUAAACUAUGAGAGAAGCUUACACUUGCAAAACUCGGCCUAGCCCUCACUUGUUCAUGUGUAGCGAAUUUUGAUGGAGAAUGGGUUCCUGAUAUAGUGUUAACACCCCAAGUGUGAUGCCUCAAAUGCUUCACACAACACCAAAAUGCAAAUGAGUAAACUAUGAGAGAAGCUUACACUUGCAAAACUCGGCCUAGCCCUCACUUGUUCAUGUGUAGCCAAGUUUGAUGGAGAAUGGGUUCCUGAUAUAGUGUUGACACAUCUAGGGUUACACCAUGUAAACCCUAAUGUGUCAUGACUCUUCAUUUCCAUGACCCAUGGGUUUGUAACUCCCAUGGAGCAUCCUAUGGAUUUAACCCAACUUGAUAAUCCAUGGAGCGUCUUAGCCCACUAUACAAGUUAUUGAUGAUUUACAUAAUCAACCCGUAUAUUUAAUUAGUUAUCUUUUGAUCACUUAAUUAAUCCCAAAUUAAUUCUUGAUCAAACUAAUUAAAUAAUACUUAUUAAUAUAUUAGAACUUAUAAUAUAUUAAUAAAACACAAGUGUUAUUUCUCUCAUUUAGUCUUUCCAAUUGCAUGGUGCCAUGCAACCCAAAUGGACCAUGCCGGGUCGGGUCAAGUACAUACCAGAAAUAGUUAUGGACAUAGACACCUUAUCCAACAGUCUCCCACUUGGAUAGGUCUGAUAACUAUAACUGCAAGUAUGACUUCAGGAACCGAUAGACAAUCCUAGUUCUUUCAAGGUUUCUCGUAACUGAGAAGAUGAUGAUACGCCAUUUAAGAUAAGUGAUCAUAUAAUCCUCUAUUCUAGAUAUCAGCCGGACAAAUACAUGGAACAAUGUCUUGCUUAUUGUCCAGUAGUUUGUUUCCCGAUUUCCUAUUUGUUUGAGAAAGAACUUAAUUGAACACAUCAACUUAGUUCUGACCGGACCUGGUACAUAGGUCAAAACAAAAUCAUCGAGGGGCCCAGAUAUCAGCUUCUAAUCCAAGAAGGAACAGAUAAACUUUGACUCAUAUGUUUGUUCUCACUGAAUUAUACACAAAAGCAUGUUUUAUAACAUCGAUGCUUAACCAACUCAUAAGUAACAAAUCAUAUCUCUAGGUUUGAAGACUUAUGUGAUAUUACCGUCUCACGAUCACUCGAGAUAAAUUUCAUGAAGUGAUUCCAGUGAGCGUGGGUUGAGUCCAAUGCUCAUAACUUAUGAGCACUCAUGAGUGUUGUAGCCAUGUCCAACAACUUAGACCUCUGCAACCAAUCAUGACAGUCUUGAUUCAUACCUACUUCUGACAUCUGGCCGACUGUGGAGGUUCGAAUAAUAUGAUAUACCAAACAUAAUUAUUCUGGAACUCAAAACAUGCAAAAGAAAUAUAGUAAACGAUCGACAAGAGAUAACAACACUUUAAUCAUAAAUACAACACCUUUUAUUCAAUCAUCUAAUAUCAAUUACACUUUACAAAUUUCAAGGUUAUCUAACUACUAAAUCUAACAUCAGCCUUCAUUACUAUUCUCCGAGCAUGCUGGAGAUGCUUAACCUGAGUCAGUCCCUUCGUGAGGGGAUCUGUUGGAUUCUCAUUUGAUGAUACCCUCUCCGCCACGAGGAGUCCUUCUUCUAUUCGAUGUCUAAUGAAAUGGUAUUUUCUGUCGAUGUGUCUGGAUCUACCGUGAUCCCUUGGUUCCUUAGCUAAGGCAACUGCACUUUCACUAUCAUAGAAACUUUCCAUUGGCUCUUUAAUAGCUACUACAACUCCAAGGUCUCCAAUGAAGUUCUUCAACAAUAUUGACUCCUUUGCUGCCUCGCUAGCUGCUAUAUACUCUGAUUCGCAAGUUGAAUCAGCCAAUGUCUCUUGCUUGGAACUCUUCUAAGAAAGUUCUCCUCCGUUUAAGGUAAAGACGCAGCCAGACUGGGAGCGGAAAUUAUCCCUAUCAGUCUGAAAGCUAGCAUCACCAAACCCUACAACUCUCAAGUCAUCACUCCCACCGAGAGUAAGGACCCAGUCCUUAGUCCUCCGUAGGUACUUGAGGAUAUUCUUUACUGCAGUCACGUGUGCCUUGCCCGGGUUCCCCUGAUACCUGCAAACCAUGCUCAGGGCAAAGGCCACAUCAGGUCAAGUACACAUCAUAGCAUACAUGAUCGAUCCUACUGCUGAAGCAUAAGGUAUUCGACUCAUUUCUGGUAUCUCAGCCUCAGUACUACGUUUUUGUGUCUUACUCAAUCUGGCAUUACUCUGGAUGGGUAACUCUCCUUUCUUGGAGUCCUGCAUGCCGAAUAUCUUCAGCACCUUAUCCAAGUAGGUACUCUGACGAAGUCCAAUUAGUCUUUUACAACGGUCUCUCAAGAUCCUUAUCCCUGGAAUAUAGGCAGCUUCUCCUAGGUCCUUCAUAGAGAAACACUUCCCAAGCCAGGACUUAACUUCCUGUAGAGUUGGGAUGUAAUUUCCUAUGAGUAGUAUGUCACCCACAUACAAUACCAAAAAGCUAACUAUACUUCCACUAGCCUUAACAUACACACAAGAUUCAUCAUCACUCCUAGAAAAUCCAAAUUCCUUGACUUUCUCAUCAAAGCAAACAUUCCAUCUACGAGGUGCUUGCUUUAAUCCAUAAAUGGAUUUCGCAAGCUUACACACUCUAUUAGGGUACUCGUUGCUGACAAAACCUGCUGGCUGACUCAUGUAAACAUCUUCAGUCAACUUUCCAUUAAGGAAAGCAGUUUUAACAUCCAUUUGCCAUAUUUCAUAGUCAUGAAAUGCAGCUAUGGCUAACAUAACCCUAAUAGACUUAAUAUUGGCUACUGCAGAGAAGGUCUCAUCAUAAUCUAAUCUGGAGUUUGAGAGAAGCCCUUUGCAACCAGUCGUGCCUUAUAAGUGUGUACAUUACCAUCCAUGUCGGUCUUCUUCUUGAAGAUCCAUUUGCACCCUACAGUCUUACGACCUGGUACAUUCUCAACCAAUUUCUAAACUUGAUUGUCAUACAUGGACUGUAUCUCGCUAUCCAUUGCCUCUUUCCACUUGGUUGACUCAGGGCCUUCCAUGGCUUCCGCGUAAUUGUUAGGUUCUUCCAGACCUACUAGUGUCUCAUCACUAAUAAGUGUAUCACCUUCCGCGGUAAUAUGGAACCCAUAGUAAUGCUCGGGUGCAUUCCUAACUCUUGUGGAAUGCCUCAGAGGUAUAGACUCGUCAAUUGGCUCAACGGGAGUUUCCUCCUUAUGUUGAGGGCUAGGGUUGGAAGUUCCUUCACCACUUGACUCUUGAAGUUCUUCAAGAUUAAUUUGCCUCCCACUGUCUCCUUGCCUUAUAAAUUAUCUCUCACUAAAGACUAUUCUUCUUGCUACAAAGACCACAUUAUCAUUGGGUCUUAAGAAGAGGUAACCAAAGGAUUUCUGUGGGUAGCCAAUGAAAAUACACCUCUCGCUUCGAGGUUCGAGCUUAUCAUGAGUCUCGCGUCUCACGAAAGCCUCGCAACCCCAAAUCUUGAUGUGGUCUAGUUUAGGUACUUUACCAGUCCACAUCUCGUGAGGAGUUUUGGCAACUUUCUUUGUAGGGACUAGAUUAAGAAUAUGGGCGGCAGUCUCUAAGGCAUACCCCCAGAAUGAGAUUGGUAGCGAAGCUCGACUCAUCAUGGAACGAACCAUAUCCAACAAGGUUCGAUUACGCCUCUCAGCCACACCAUUCAACUGUGGUGUCCUGGGAGGUGUCAAUUGUGAGACUAUCCCACAUUCCCUUAGAUAGUCAAGGAACUCUGAACUAAGAUACUCACCACCACGAUCGGAUUGAAGCAUCUUAAUGUUCCUGCCCAAUUGAUUCUCGACUUCCUGUUUAAACUCUAUAAACCUUUCAAAAGUCUCUGACUUAUGCUUGAUUAAGUAGACAUAUCCAUAUCUAAUGUAAUCGUCAGUAAAACUCAAAUAAUAACGAUUAUCAUCCCUCGUGGCAUGUUUGAAGGGUCCACACACAUCCGUGUGUACAAGGUCCAACAAAGCUUCACCCCUCUCACAAGAACCAGUGAAGGGUGACUUUGUCAUUUUUCCAAGUAAGCAUGAUUCGCAACUGUCAUCUGAAUUUAGGUCAAAUGACUCCAAGACUCCAUCCUUUUGGAGUUGGCCUAUGUGUUUCUUGCUUAUAUGUCCAAGACGACAAUACCAUAAUGAUGCUUUAUCCAAGUUAUUAUUAUUAGUAGAAUCAAUACACAAUACAUUAUUUCCUAAGUUGUCUACAACAGACACAGCUUCAUACACACCAUCAAAAGGUAAUGCUUUAAAAUAAAGAACAUUAUUAAAGAAAGCAUUAAUCGAACCAACUUCAUUAUCAAAUGAAAAGGUGAAACCUUGUUUAUACGAUGCAUGAAAGGAAAUAAUAUUUCUUUCCAUUUCUAGAGAAUAGAAACAUUUAUUCAAAUCUAAACUAAACCCACCACUUAGCGAUAAAGUAUAAAC
rnacentral:lncRNA from 1 species